GACAGAGGGCUCAAACGUUGUUCGGAAUCACUGGGCAUAAAGGGCGCGUAGGCGGCUCGUUAAGUCGGUUGUGAAAUCCCCCGGCUCAACCGGGGAACGGCAUUCGAUACUGGCGGGCUCGAGGACGGGAGGGGUAAGUGGAACUCCAGGUGGAACGGUGAAAUGUGUAGAUAUCUGGAGGAACACCGGUGGCGAAAGCGGCUUACUGGCCCGUAUCUGACGCUGAUGCGCGAAAGCUAGGGGAGCAAACGGG
rnacentral:rRNA from 1 species